rnacentral:sRNA from 1 species
CGAAAGCCUGACGGAGCAAUACCGCGUGAGGGAGGAAGGCUCUAGGGUUGUAAACCUCUUUUCACAGGGAAGAAAAAAAUGACGGUACCUGAGGAAUAAGCAUCGGCUAACUCCGUGCCAGCAGCCGCGGUAAUACGGAGGAUGCAAGCGUUAUCCGGAUUUAUUGGGCGUAAAGCGUCCGCAGGUGGCAGUUCAAGUCUGCUGUCAAAGGUCGGGGCUCAACCCCGAACAGGCAGUGGAAACUGAACAGCUAGAGUACGGUAGGGGCAGAGGGAAUCCCCAGUGUAGCGGUGAAAUGCGUAGAGAUUGGGAAGAACACCGGUGGCGAAAGCGCUCUGCUAGGCCGAAACUGACACUCAUGGACGAAAGCUAGGGGAGCGAAUGGGAUUAGAUACCCCAGUAGUCCUAGCCGUAAACGAUGGAUACUAGGCGUUGUGAGUAUCGACCCUCACAGUGUCGUAGCUAACGCGUUAAGUAUCCCGCCUGGGGAGUACGCGCGCAAGCGUGAAACUCAAAGGAAUUGACGGGGGCCCGCACAAGCGGUGGAGUAUGUGGUUUAAUUCGAUGCAACGCGAAGAACCUUACCAGGACUUGACAUGUCGCGAAUCUCAGGGAAACUUGAGAGUGCCUUCGGGAGCGCGAACACAGGUGGUGCAUGGCUGUCGUCAGCUCGUGUCGUGAGAUGUUGGGUUAAGUCCCGCAACGAGCGCAACCCUCGUUUUUAGUUGCCAGCAUUAAGUUGGGCACUCUAGAGAGACUGCCGGUGACAAACCGGAGGAAGGUGGGGAUGACGUCAAGUCAGCAUGCCCCUUACGUUCUGGGCUACGCACGUACUACAAUGCUACGGACAAAGGGCAGCAAGUUAGCGAUGACAAGCAAAUCCCAUAAACCGUGGCUCAGUUCAGAUUGCAGGCUGCAACUCGCCUGCAUGAAGAUGGAAUCGCUAGUAAUCGCAGGUCAGCACUACUGCGGUGAAUACAUUCCCGGGCCUCGUACACACCGCCCGUCACACCAUGGAAGCUGGCUUAGCCCGAAGUCGUUACCCUAACCUGCAAGGGGGGGGGAUGCCGAAGGCAGGGCUGGUGACUGGGGUGAAGUCGUAACAAGGUAGCCGUACCGGAAGGUGUGGCUGGAUCACCUCCUUUUCAGGGAGACCUACUUCAUCAUGACCGAACCCAAAUUAUUAGGUCAGAUGGAUGUCACCCAAGGUCGUCCGAGAUUGGUGCCAAAGCUUUCAAACUAUAUUUGGUUCGGUAACCAAAAGCCGCGUCGGCUUUUCCCAACACUGAUAUGGUUGUCGGGAAAAGCGAACACAAUCGGUUCAAAAAAGUUCGGUUGUGCCUACUCAGCAAGUGUUAUUAGUUGUUAAAGUAGGAAGGUGCGGUAAAAAGCAUUGCUUUAAAGCAAUAAACCUAAAACUUUAAAUUAAACAGAUAAACUCUUCAGCAUCAGGCAUUAGCGCCUGAAUGCUGGAUAGUGUAUCCAGUCAGAACCUUGAAAACUGCAUAGCAACUUGUCAAAUGCAAUAAUUGAUUGCAUUAACAACAGCGCUAAUCGGCGCUGUUGUUGAAUGCAUCAAUUGCAGGUAGACACCAAUGUUUAAAAGUGGUCAAGCUAAUUAGGGCUUACGGUGGAUACCUAGGCACACAGAGGCGAAGAAGGACGUGGCGACCGACGAAACACUCCGGGGAGCUGGAAGCAAGCAUUGAGCCGGAGAUAUCCGAAUGGGGCAACCCCAAGUACAGCCUGUUGAAUACAUAGACAGGCAUGAGCCAACCCAGCGAACUGGAACAUCUUAGUAGCUGGAGGAAGAGAAAGAAAAAUCGAUUCCCUUAGUAGCGGCGAGCGAAGCGGGAAGAGCCUAAACCAGUUGUUUUUACAACUGGGGUUGUGGGACAGCAUCAUGGAAUACCUGAAGCUAGACGAAGCAGUAGGGAUACUGCACCAGAGAAGGUGAAAGUCCUGCAGUCGAAAGUAGAAGGAUACUAGCUGAAUCCCGAGUAGCACGGGGCACGUGGAAUCCCGUGUGAAUCUGCGAGAACCAUCUCGUAAGGCUAAAUACUACUGUGUGACCGAUAGUGAACCAGUACCGCGAGGGAAAGGUGAAAAGAACCCCGGAAGGGGAGUGAAAUAGAACAUGAAACCGUAAGCUAUCAAGCAGUGGAAGGACGAUUCAACGUCUGACCGCGUGCCUGUUAAAGAAUGAGCCGGCGACUUAUAGGCAGUGGCAGGUUAAAGCAUCAUGUGCUGAAGCCAAAGCGAAAGCGAGUCUGAAUAGGGCGCUGAAGUCACUGUUUAUAGACCCGAACCCGGGUGAUCUAACCAUGUCCAGGAUGAAGCUUGGGUAACACCAAGUGGAGGUCCGCACCGACCGAUGUUGAAAAAUCGGCGGAUGAGGUGUGGUUAGGGGUGAAAUGCCAAUCGAACCCGGAGCUAGCUGGUUCUCCCCGAAAUGUGUUUAGGCGCAGCGGUUGAGGUAAUAAUCUGGGGGUAAAGCACUGUUUCGGUGCGGGCUGCGAGAGCGGUACCAAAUCGAGACAAACUCUGAAUACCAGAUGUAUACUCAACCAGUGAGACGGUGGGGGAUAAGCUUCAUCGUCAAGAGGGAAACAGCCCAGACCACCAGCUAAGGCCCCCAAAUUGUCACUAAGUGAUAAAGGAGGUGGGAGUGCAAAGACAACCAGGAGGUUUUGCCUAGAAAGCAGCCAUCCUUAAAAGAGUGCGUAAUAGCUCACUGGUCAAGCGCUCCUGCGCCGAAAAUGAACGGGGCUAAGUGACAUGCCGAAGCUGUGGGAUAAGAAAUUAUCGGUAGGGGAGCGUUCCGCCAUAGAGUGAAGCACUAGCGGCAAGCAGGUGUGGACGAAGCGGAAGUGAGAAUGUCGGCUUGAGUAGCGCAAACAUUGGUGAGAAUCCAAUGCCCCGAAACCCUAAGGGUUCCUCCGGCAGGUUCGUCCGCGGAGGGUUAGUCAGGUCCUAAGGUGAGGCCAAACGGCGUAGUCGAUGGACAACGGGUUAACAUUCCCGUACUGAAGCUGAAUUGUGUAGAGGGACGGAGAAGGCAAUUGCCAGCCAGGUAUUGGUUGUCCUGGUUCAACUAGCCGAGGUGAUGAGAGGCGGUGAAAACGCCUUGAGCUAAGGUAGGAGUACGAGUCCCUACGGGGGCGAAGCGGUAUAGUCUAGCUUCCAAGAAAAGCUCUAAACACGUUAAUUCAGUUUUACCUGUACCCGAAACCGACACAGGUAGGGAGGUUGAGAAUACCAAGGGGCGCGAGAUAACUCUCUCUAAGGAACUCGGCAAAAUGGCCCCGUAACUUCGGAAGAAGGGGUGCCCACCGUAAAAAGUGGGUCGCAGUGAAGAGAUCCAGGCGACUGUUUACCAAAAACACAGGUCUCCGCAAAGUCGAAUGACGACGUAUGGGGGCUGACGCCUGCCCAGUGCCGGAAGGUUAAGGAAGUCGGUCAGGACCUUCGGGUCUAAAGCUGGCGACUGAAGCCCUGGUGAACGGCGGCCGUAACUAUAACGGCCCUAAGGUAGCGAAAUUCCUUGUCGGGUAGGUUCCGACCCGCACGAAAGGCGUAACGAUCUGGAUGGUGUCUCAGAGAGAGACUCGGCGAAAUAGGAAUGUCUGUGAAGAUACGGACUACCUGCACCUGGACAGAAAGACCCUAUGAAGCUUUACUGUAGCCUGGAAUUGGCUCCGGGCUUCGCUUGCGCAGGAUAGGUGGGAGGCAUUGAAGGCGCCCUUGUGGGGGUGCUGGAGCCAACGGUGAGAUACCACUCUGGCGAAGCUAGGAUUCUAACCAGUAGCCGUUAGCCGGCACUGGAACCGUUUCAGGUGGGCAGUUUGACUGGGGCGGUCGCCUCCUAAAAGGUAACGGAGGCGCGCAAAGGUUCCCUCAGCACGGUUGGAAAUCGUGCUUUAUGAGUGUAAAGGCAUAAGGGAGCUUGACUGCAAGAGCAACAACUCAAGCAGGGACGAAAGUCGGCCUUAGUGAUCCGACGGCACUGAGUGGAAGGGCCGUCGCUCAACGGAUAAAAGUUACUCUAGGGAUAACAGGCUGAUCUCCUCCAAGAGUUCACAUCGACGAGGAGGUUUGGCACCUCGAUGUCGGCUCAUCGCAACCUGGGG